ACACAAAGAGUUCUUCUUCGAACAGCUUGCAACAUUGAUGCUAACACCAGCAUGGGUGGAAAUCUGUGAUCUGUUUUCCUCUUCUCCUCUAGGGUAUGACCUGCAGCAUCUGUCUGUUUCUGUCUGCCUUAACCUCCAGGAGGUACACUUGCUUGCCCUGGAGAAGAAUAUCAUGGUGGCCACAUGGAUGCUUUAGAGUGGGUGAGGUCGUGCAUCAUUAUACAAAAUAGAGACUCCUCUUGCAGACCAAAUUACCACAGGCACAGGACUUCUUGGACACUGUUGUGGAACGGUAGAGCACAGCUCAACAGGAAAGAGCUGAUUAAAAAGUUCAACUCAAAUCAUCAAGGAUCAAGUCUGCUCAAGGUGUCGAGCCUUGCAGACAGCAACUAAGUAUCUGUGGCAACUGGUGAGCUUCCUCCCAGACCUAGCCUUGCCUCUGCGGCCUGACCUGUCCCUGUCGAGCAGCCAGCGUGACUUCUGGCCACAAAGGAGACCUUGUGCUUUGUGUCUGAGCUGGUGCGCGGUGCCCAACGGCUUGUGUCACGGCUCUGCAGCUGUUCAGCCACAUCUCACCCAAAGGUUCUGGCAGCAAUUUGCUAAGCCCUGUGUUACUGUGGCCUGGCUCAGCAGUGGCUGAGUUCUCUCUGGCUGCCCCUCAUCUUCCUUCCCCAACGAAACAGCUGUGAGCUUUGAAUCCGGAAGCUUUUCAGUGUCCAAAGGGGUCCUGCUGGAUUUACUCUCCCUUGAAGCUGUGCCAUCUGUAAGUACAAGUCCCUUGCUGUUCAGGAUUCAGAAGGAGAAGUCCUCUGAAAAGCUGGCCUCAGCUGACCCACCCCCAGACAUUUCUCAGCAUUCGUGUCUCACUUGAUGCCUCUCUGGGGAGGACGUGUGGAUUCUUUCUUGUCUCUGAAUUGCACAAGUACUCAUACGUGCAGGCCACGAGAGUGGUACCCUGCAGAUGCCCUCCUCUGCCUUCAGUGACUGUGUUUGUGGGUGAUCUCCACUUAGGUGUUGGGAUUUCUAAAAGGUUGCACAUAUCUGUUUUGCUGUGGCCUUAGUAUUUAGUUUGUUUCUUACUCCAUUCUAAAACCAAGAAGGACUUUUUGUCAUCUUCUUCCAGGAAAAGGCGAUUGAAUAUCACGUUCCCCAUUUGUCAGCAACUCUUCUUGCGAUAGCUAUUGCUGUGGAAACGCUUUUAUGAUUUAGUAGAGAAAUAGGUCUGCAGUCCAGAGAUGCCUGCUCUGCUGUUCUGCCGUUAUUUUUAGAAGCCUUGCUCUUAUUUUAAUUAGACUCCUUGUUCAAUUUUAGAAGACAAUGUUUUACUGUGAUCUGCGAUAUAGCUUAGAAUAUGAAAUUGCCUCACUCAGAAACCAAGAGGAAGAAUUCAGGUGCUCAGCCUGCCCUGUGUGUUGCAGUGUGCUAAAAACAAGAAAUCGGUUACUUUACUGGGUUCUGUACCACGUUUCUAUUUCGUGCAGAGAGAUUUGACCUAAACCAGCUCCCCAGUACAUGAAAUCAAGGGUAAAGCUGAAAUAUCACCUGCAUUUUCUAAGGAAAUGCUGCCUAAAUUCCUCCAGGACUCUAGGAGAAGCUGCACACGUAGAGCCAGAGCUAAUGGAUUUUAUGAUUAAGAAGCACUUUGCUGACUUGUAGGACUCUAACUCUUGAUCAAGGUGCAUUACAUCUCAGUUAAUACUAUAUGGCUUUCUGAGAGACAGGUGGAUAAAUAUGGACUCUUUAAAGAUUAUGACUUGGUUUCCACAGCGUCUUGCAUGUUUGACACCAUGAAGCCUACAGACCAUAGCAUGUUUUUGAAAUUCACCUCUGUAAUAGAUUGGAUUGAUUUUGAAUCUCACAUAAACAGGGUUUCCUUUGUGUUCAGGUGAUGCAAAGGUUUCACUGUGUGGUCUGCCAGCAGGCUUGUGUGCUUAGUGAAUAAGGUCAGGUUGCCAGUUUGACAAGGGUAUAUAUUUUAAAGCCAUUUUGCAGAAUCAGGAAAGAUGGUGGAGGACAUUUGGUUGCAGUGACCAUGCUAGAGAAUGGACUGACUUGUGAGAAACUAGAACUGAGGAUGUGUUUGAUGAAGCGUAAUUCAGAUAGAGAUCCAGGCUUAGGUGAUCCUGUUGGGACUGAGAUGAUGUGUUUUCUUCUUGUAAAUGAGACUGACAAGGACUCGCUUUUUACAUAGCACCGGAUGACACUGCAGGUGCUUAGUAUGCGCUCCUGCAGCUCAUGCCAAGCAAUGCCUCUUCAGUGAUACACUGGGGCACUAUUUUAUGUAACUUGCCAUCAGAUGGCAUAAAUUCCCUAACAACUCUUAGCGACACUGAAGCAGGCAUUCCUGGAACAAGCUGCAGCACCGGAGCCAAGUAGUUAAUCAGGUGUAACAUGAGGCUUUGACAUGAUUUACUGCCUGCUGGUAGCUCUUACUGGGGCUGUAUUGUCCUUCUGUAUGUACUGUAUAAUAGUUUUAAGCUGUCCUUGGACAGGGCCCUAUUGUAAACAAGCUGUCUGGCUUAACUGGGAUAUCCUGUAAAAAUAUGUUAAUAAAAACUGAAAUCAUU